UAAGUACUCCCUCCCUUCCAAAAUUCUUGUCUUAGAUUUGCCUAGAUACGGAUGUAUCUAAUAGUGUACUAAAACGUGACUUGAUACAUCCGUAUUUUGACAAAUCUAAGACAAGAAUUUUGGGACGGAGGGAGUAUAUG
rfam:Triticum aestivum genome assembly, contig: Triticum_aestivum_CS42_TGACv1_scaffold_145987_2BS